GGGGACGCGUGGUUUAGACAGGAAUUUAGGUUUUUGAUUUGCGGGUCGUGGCGCCGUGCACCACGUUAAAAGCGGCAAAAUUAUAAAUGGCGAUAAAGAAUUCGCUCUCGCUGCUUAAUAAAUAGUUAGCGACGUUCAAAAUUAUUUCUGCUCGAUGGAUUUUUUUGAGCGACGAUUAGUCGAGCUGCAGUGUAUGAUUCGUUAGUACCAUACAACUAAGAAAUUACUAACUGGUCAUUGUAAUUUCUGCCGACGGGAUUAUUACAGUGAUAAGAUUUUUUCCGACGGCUACACUCGUAGAGAUCAAAUUUUUAACUUUUCUGGACGGGGAGUUCAACUCUCCCCCGUCUCCACCA
rnacentral:tmRNA from 1 species